rnacentral:rRNA from 1 species
GGUUUGAGAGGAUGAUCCCCCACACUGGGACUGAGACACGGCCCAGACUCCUACGGGAGGCAGCAGUGGGGAAUUUUGGACAAUGGGCGCAAGCCUGAUCCAGCCAUGCCGCGUGUCUGAAGAAGGCCUUCGGGUUGUAAAGGACUUUUGUCCGGGAGCAAAUCCCAGUGGUUAAUACCUACUGGGGCUGAGAGUACCGGAAGAAUAAGCACCGGCUAACUACGUGCCAGCAGCCGCGGUAAUACGUAGGGUGCAAGCGUUAAUCGGAAUUACUGGGCGUAAAGCGUGCGCAGGCGGUUGUGCAAGUCUGAUGUGAAAGCCCCGGGCUUAACCUGGGAACGGCAUUGGAGACUG